rnacentral:rRNA from 1 species
GACGAACGCUGGCGGCGUGCUUAACACAUGCAAGUCGAACGGAAAGGCCCUGCUUGCCGGGUACUCGAGUGGCGAACGGGUGAGUAACACGUGGGUGAUCUGCCCUGCACUUCGGGAUAAGCCUGGGAAACUGGGUCUAAUACCGGAUAGGAGCCAUUUUUAGUGUGAUGGUUGGAAAGUUUUUUCGGUGUAGGAUGAGCUCGCGGCCUAUCAGCUUGUUGGUGGGGUAAUGGCCUACCAAGGCGGCGACGGGUAGCCGGCCUGAGAGGGUGGACGGCCACAUUGGGACUGAGAUACGGCCCAGACUCCUACGGGAGGUAGCAGGGGGGAAUAUUGCACAAUGGGCGCAAGCCUGAUGCAGCGACGCCGCGUGGGGGAUGACGGCCUUCGGGUUGUAAACGCCUUUCGCUAGGGACGAAGCUUUUUGUGACGGUACCUAGAUAAGAAGCACCGGCUAACUACGUG